GACGAACGCUGGCGGCGUGCUUAACACAUGCAAGUCGAACGAUGAAGCCGGAGCUUGCUCUGGUGAAUUAGUGGCGAACGGGUGAGUAACACGUGAGUAACCUGCCCUUGACUCUGGGAUAACUGCGGGAAACUGUAGCUAAUACUGGAUACGACCCUCGGAGGCAUCUCCUGGGGGUGGAAAGAAUUUCGGUCAAGGAUGGACUCGCGGCCUAUCAGCUAGUUGGUGAGGUAACGGCUCACCAAGGCGACGACGGGUAGCCGGCCUGAGAGGGUGACCGGCCACACGGGGACUGAGACACGGCCCAGACUCCUACGGGAGGCAGCAGUGGGGAAUAUUGCACAAUGGGCGCAAGCCUGAUGCAGCAACGCCGCGUGAGGGAUGACGGCCUUCGGGUUGUAAACCUCUUUUAGUAGGGAAGAAGCGAAAGUGACGGUACCUGCAGAAAAAGCACCGGCUAACUACGUGCCAUCAGCCGCAGUAA
rnacentral:rRNA from 1 species